rnacentral:rRNA from 1 species
UACGGGGGGAGCAAGCGUUGUUCGGAUUUACUGGGCGUAAAGGGCGCGUAGGCGGUCGUGACAAGUCACUUGUGAAAUCUCCGGGCUUAACGUCGGAACGGAUCAAGUGAUACUGUCGGACUAGAGUACAGAAGGGGCAACUGGAAUUCUCGGUGUAGCGGUGAAAAUGCGUAGAUAUCGAGAGGAACACCUGCGGCGAAGGCGGGUUGCUGGGCUGAUACUGACGCUGAGGCGCGAAAGCCAGGGGAGCGAACGGG